rnacentral:rRNA from 1 species
UACGUAGGGGGCAAGCGUUGUCCGGAUUUAUUGGGCGUAAAGAGCGUGUAGGCGGCCAGGUAGGUCUGCUGUGAAAACUCGAGGCUCAACCUCGAGAUGUCGGCGGAAACCAUCUGGCUAGAGUCCGGAAGAGGAGAAUGGAAUUCCCGGUGUAGCGGUGAAAUGCGCAGAUAUCGGGAAGAACACCCGUGGCGAAGGCGGUUCUCUGGGACGGUACUGACGCUGAGACGCGAAAGCGUGGGUAGCAAACAGG